GGAAGAGAAAUACCCCCGGUGGGGUGCCCGGACUUCAAACCCGGAGGGAGGCGCCAGGCGUCUCCGGCAGGUUCGACUCCUGCCUCUUCCGCCA
rnacentral:tRNA from 1 species